CUUACCAAGUCUUAAAACGCUUUAUCACUGUACCCCCUUCUCCACUUCAACCAUCUUCCCCGAGCCUGUGCACUGCCGUCCCUUCCCACAUUAUGCCUCUACCGAGACGUCGACGUCGCCGUCGCCGCCUAGCCUAGCAAGUGACCGUCUCUCUCUUUCUCAAUCUCUCUGUUCAUCUCUCUCGUGCUCUUUCUCUUUCUCUCUCUCCAGGUAUCACAGCAAUUCAUGGAGCUUUUCUGAGAUGGCUAGCCGAACACUGAGUUGGGACACAUAAUUGGGUCAGUUCUAUCACGAUGGUACUCUCCAGGUUUUGUGGGUAAAUAUUCAUGUAAGUUGGGAUAUGAGUUAUGAAAUGAUGAAACAACCAUCUGCAUAGUUUAGGUUUUAGUGCAAGAAGAUUGAUAGGAAAUAGAUCACCAGUAUGCAAAUUAGAGGAGAUGAACCAUGUGUUUGAGGGCUAUUUUGCAUAAAUGGGUUAUACACUUUACAGCUUACUCACACCAUUUUAUAGCAUUUAUUUUGUUUGAGUACAAUGUUUUUUUUUUUCUUUUUUUUUUUUAAAUUUUGUAGAAGAGUAUAUCAACUUAUAGUGAGCUUCAUAAAACUUGAUGAAGUCCAUCUUGAAGAAAAUCCCAUUCUCUUGUUGUGGAAGCCAAAGAAACAAAUGAAGGAUAUAUGAUUUUAUAUUGUGUGAUUCAUUGCAGCAGAAUGUGCUGCCUAAAUAGUUUGAGAUUUAUAUUGA